rnacentral:tRNA from 1 species
GCCUUUGUGGUGUAGUGGUCAGCAUGCUCGGCAAGUAUUCGAGAGGCCCGUGGUUCGAGUCUUGGCGAGGGCA